UACGUAGGGUGCAAGCGUUGUCCGGAAUUAUUGGGCGUAAAGAGCUCGUAGGUGGCCUGUCGCGUCGGCUGUGAAAACUCGAGGCUCAACCUCGAGCUGUCGGUGGAAACUGUGUGGCUAGAGUCCGGAAGAGGAGAGUGGAAUUCCCGGUGUAGCGGUGAAAUGCGCAGAUAUCGGGAAGAACACCCGUGGCGAAGGCGGCUCUCUGGGACGGUACUGACGCUGAGACGCGAAAGCGUGGGGAGCGAACAGG
rnacentral:rRNA from 1 species